rnacentral:rRNA from 1 species
AUUGAACGCUGGCGGUAUGCUUAACACAUGCGAGUCGAACGGCAGCAUGGUCUAGCUUGCUAGACUGAUGGCGAGUGGCGGACGGGUGAGUAACGCGUAGGAAUAUGCCUUGAAGAGUGGGACAACUUGGGGAAACUCAAGCUAAUACCGCAUGUACUCGAGAGAGUAAAGCUGGGGACCUUUAGGCCUGGCGCUUUAAGAUUAGCCUGCGUCCGAUUAGCUAGUUGGUAGGGUAAAGGCCUACCGAGGCGACGAUCGGUAGCUGGUCUGAGAGGAUGAUCAGCCACACUGGAACUGAGAGACGGUCCAGACUCCUACGGGAGGCAGCAGUGGGGAAUAUUGGACAAUGGGGGGAACCCUGAUUCAGCAAUGCCGCGUGUGUGAAGAAGGCCUGAGGGUUGUAAAGCACUUUCAGUGGGGAGGAGGUUUGGAAGGUUAAGAGCUAUUCAAAUGGACGUUACCCACAGAAGAAGCACCGGCUAGCUCCGUGCCAGCAGCCGCCGUAA